rnacentral:rRNA from 1 species
AAUCAACGCUGGCGGCGUGCCUCAGACAUGCAAGUCGAACGAUUAAAGCUCUCUUCGGAGAGUGCAUAGAGUGGCGCACGGGUGAGUAACACGUAAGUAAUCUACCCUCGAGUGGGGAAUAACGUCCGGAAACGGGCGCUAAUACCGCAUAAUGCAGCGGCAUCAUAAGAUGACAGUUGUUAAAGAUUUAUCGCUUGAGGAGGAGCUUGCGGCAGAUUAGCUAGUUGGUAAGGUAACGGCUUACCAAGGCUACGAUCUGUAACCGGUCUUAGAGGACGGUCGGUCACACUGACACUGAGUAGCGAGUCAGACUCCUACGGGAGGCAGCAGUCAGGAAUUUUGGGCAAUGGGCGAAAGCCUGACCCAGCAACGCCGCGUGAAGGAUGAAGUAUUUCGGUAUGUAAACUUCGAAAGAAUAGGAAGAAUUAAUGACGGUACUAUUUAUAAGGUCCGGCUAACUACGUGCCAGCAGCCGCCGCAGGAA